rnacentral:tRNA from 1 species
AUCUUUUUGACGGAAUUGGUAGACGUGGUAGAUUUAAAAUCUAUUUUUUAUGCAAAGUAUUGGUUCAAGUCCAAUAAAAGAUA